rnacentral:lncRNA from 1 species
UGGUUACUUUAUUUAAAAACUUUAUAUGUACAUACAAAAAAUCUUACAUUAGUUACAAUAAAAAUAUUACUGUAGCUCUGCAGCAUCAUACGUCUAUUUAAAAAUACUCUCUCUAAGUAUUAAUUAACUUAAUUUAUAGUAAAACCUUUACAAAAUAUGUAAGCUAUAGUAAAUUUUUCUCCUUGCUUAUUCAAUGUUUCAUGACGGCUUAUUGACAACAUAACACUUGUUGGUUACAACAAUUUGUGAAAAAUGCGGUCCAAUUUUCAUG